UUUAUAACUAUUUUCUUAUUGGUUAAAUCGAAAAUCGAACCAUUAGGGAUUAAAAAAUGAUAAAAAUAUCUUAUUGGUUUGGUUGUUGGUUUAGCAUAUUUAAAAUCGAAAAUCGAUAAACCGAACCGGUAAUAUGUAAAACCGAACCGAACCGACCGAUGCACACCCCUAAGGCAGAGGAAAUUUUCGAUGGAGCGAUGAAAUGCGAAGAGAUCAAAAAGAACACCAACGAUGAAUGCACUCUAUUGGGCCGACACCGACACUGAGAGACAAAAGCUAGGGAAGCAAAUGGGAUUAGAUACCCAGCAAUCCUAGCCGUAAACGAUGGAUACUAGGCGUUGUGCGUAUCAACCUAUGCAGUAUUGUAGCUAACGCGUUAAGUAUCCUGCCUGGGGAGUACGUUCGCAAGAAUGAAACUCAAAGGAAUUGAUGGAGGCCCACACAAGCGGUGAAGAAAGAGACGAGGAGGAAGAAGGGGCACUACGGGAAAAGCAUCCAAGACGCGCCAAGGCAAAGGCAUAAAGUUCAAACACAGGCUUAGUAAGCACAGAUAUUCUAGAAAGAAAGAUUUCCUCUCUU
rnacentral:ncRNA from 1 species